GACACCUUUGGCCAGGAAAUGGGGGCCUUUGCUUCUCCCAAAUUAGUCCGUUUGUCUCAAGGCCUCUUCCUGUCUGAAAACCGCUGCCUGGAUCCACUUCCGCUAACAGUCCCAGUGGUUAGAGUUGGGGGAACAGGCUUUCUGGCCCACAAGGCAGACCUCGUAGCUGAAAAGCCAGACCCAAGCAUGACAAGGGACAGCCUCGGGCCCCUGGCAGGAGGCCAUGCCCGACCACACCUGAGCUCUGACCAGCUAAGGCAGAGGGGGCAGCCUGAGUGAAGACGGAGACAGGACAGAGCGUGGCAUUUCUAGGGACUGGCGGAUGGCCAAGGUGACCGGGACCCUGAGGGCUGGGGAAAGCAGCACAAGAAUCUGGCCCCAUGAGAGCACACCUGGGCCCGUGGGGCACCUCCCCCAGGUGGGGCUCUGCUGACCAGUCUGCUCCCUGACCCCCAGAGAGAGGACAGAUCCCGCCCCACGCCCACCCCUCGCCUGUCCCAGUCAAACUACUUGAUCUUACUUCUUGAGGACAAAUACGCCUGGAGCGAUAGGCAAACUGGACAGCUCUGGAUAUCACUGUGAACAGUUGACAACUGAAUGAGAGGGGGGAAAAAAAAAUCAAGCUUUUGUUGCCUCAAAUACCCUCAGAUGAGGAAGAAUGAAAAAAGCAGCGCUUUGUUAUUUAGAAGUAUUUUAUUUUCGUGGUUGUUAAAGCAGUUGCCUGUUUCGGGGUUUUCUUUAGCCUCAUUUGCCUGUCCCCUGGACAAACCCAGGGGAACAUUUAUCCCCCAGGGCCCGUGAUCCCCUCAGGUUAAUGUGCCCAGAGACCCCCUUGUCCAUACUCACGAGAAGGGCUACGCCGGACCGCCUGGCCUGAUGACAGCGCCUCGUGCCUGGGAGGAUGCUGAGAGCGCCCCAGGGAAGGUUAACUCACCAGCAGGAGGUGUGGGUGUGCCAUCUUCCCUCCAUCAGCUGGGCACUAUCCCUUUACCCAGAGCCUGGUGUGCGGGGUGGGAGCUCCCCUCUGCUGCGUGUGUGGCUGUCUGGCACACAGAACUGGGCUGGGCCACAGAGCGAAGGAGGCAGUGCUGGCUCCAGGGCCCCAACCUCCUUUUGCUGGAGCCUGCCCUCCAGUCCCCUGAGGUGGGAGUAAACUGGAGAAGUAUCCCACUUGGAUGAGACCGGGGCACAAGGCAGGGUGCCCCCAGCUACGAUCAGCCUUGGAGCGGGACCCUCACCUCCCAACACCAUCCUGAAGAACUCCUGGGCUGCAGGCAGGGGCUGCUCAGGGAGGCCCAGCGGCAAGAGUGCAGCUCCCCCAGCCCUCAGCCCAGGGCUGAGGGGCCCUAUGCCCGGAAGCAGGGGUUCUGGUGCCCAGGGGUUCUGGGCAGGGGUGGGCACGUACCCAGCUGGAAGAGGUCCUGGAUGUACGAAGGGCCUGCCUCUUCCCCACCCUUUGAGCUGUUGUCAUUUGGGGGGGUGUCCCCUGACGCCUGAGGAGGUGCUGGUGGGGAGUCCACACCAUGCAAACCCCCAAACACACACCAAACCUGGAUCCCCCUGGCAGGAGGGCUGUGGAGGAGCUGGCUUGGGUCCAUGGUGGCUGGGAGAAGGGCCUCAGCGGGGACACUCCCUUGCUCCAGCCCUGUCACCCCAGUGCCCUGUUGGAAGGUCGUCCUUGCCUUUCCCGGAGUGGCUGUGGGUGAAUCCGGGAGAAGCCCUCUUAUGCAUCCUGCCCCUCCCACUCCUGGCUGAACUCUGCAGCCCCAGCUUGAAGCAAGACCCCCAUUCCCUGUGAAAUGAGGGUUUGGAUAAUGGACGCUGAGGUCCUUUCUGGAAAAGAGCAGCGGAUGUGCCACAGCGACAUCCCCCACGGGAGAAAAGACCCUCCGCAGUCCUGACUGCUUACAUCCCAAGGAGUUUACCCAGGAGUCAAGGGCCCUCUUCCAAACUAACCCACUGCAUGGAGGAGAGGCCAGAAUUCACCUGAACCCAGGGCUCCUUCUGAGUCAGCUGUUCUGGAGACAGAACCACGGGCCGGCCUUAGAAUAAGCCCAGGGGUCCUCACCCCUCACAGAGCACAACGGGGACCCCGAGACAGCCAGCGUCCAAAUGUGCCUUCAGCAUCUGGGUGAGAUGCUCCCGCCUAUUCCAAAGAAAUCAUGUCAACGAGUUCGUCCCAGGAGAGAGGAAAAACCAGCUCAAAAACCAGAGCCACAGAAAUACCCAGGCACUGAGGAGCCCUGACAGCUGGUAGCUGUGGUCUCCCACUGACAGCCUCGUCUGAAAUAACAGAGGAGCCGGUCCAGGCCUCCCAUUUGCAAAAUGCAUCCCUUCGGCUUCGGCAGCUCUGACCCCAGAGUCAGACACCACUCCAGACGGCGCCUUCACAGCACAUCCAGAAGGGAAGGAAGAAGGGCAGGCCGGGCCAGAGCAGUGGAAAGGGGGCCACGCAGCCAGGAGAGGAAAAGACUGGGCCCCCACGGGGCGCCCGGGUUGGGUCUGGCUGGCCUUGGACGUAACUACAUUAUGAGAAAGAUUGAAAGGCUAAUAGGGAAGCAGCCGACACUGAAAGAGAACAAUUAAGCAGGUGAAGGGGCUUAAUAUGAGAUGAAUGGCUGCUAAAGGAUAAAGUUCACAGCUUCCAGGAAAGAAGUCUGACUCAGAGAAAUCUUUUUUGUUGAUAGCUCUUGGUCUAGUUGUGUUGACACAUUUUUUUUUUCCUUUCUGGUAAUUGAGAGAAAAAUGACCCUUCAUUCUCAGAUGAGUCAUGCUGCCCCCCCUUCUCUCUCUGUUUGGAAGUGUCUGCUUUGCUCCAGGUUCUGGAAUGAAUUUUAGGGUCCCCCCUGUUCAGCAUGCCGUACCCCACCUGAAAGCAUCCCCCUCAGUGAGAUGUGUGGUGCCCUACAAGAAUAUCUUCUCCAGGAGUUUCUGCUGCAGUGCAAUGGGAUCCGCAGCUUCUCUAAAGCGCUGGAUGCAGGUUCGAUCCCCGGCCAGGCACAGUGGGUUAAAUUGUGGCAU